GCUAUUAAAUUUUGCAAAGACUUGUUUCUUUUCCAUCAGAGUAAAAUAAAAGACCUACCUGUAGUUUACAUGCACUCUUCAGUGUAUGGAUUUGUCAAGUUUUUAAUGUUCUCAUCUAAAUACUUCUUCAUUUUCUGUACAACUGAAGGGCUAAAUAAUUGUUCUAUUCAACCUUCGCCUAAACAAAGUGACUGAGUGUAAAGGGGGAAAGAGGAGGAAGAAACUAAUGAAUUAUACAGAUUAGCAUGAGAACAAGUAACAGAAGAUAAGAAAGUGGGUGGCCAUAUUUCAUCUCUCAAUGAGUGUUACCUAGGAGACAAAGGACUGAAUGAUUGCAUAAAUGACCCUAUGCCUGUGGAUUUAGAUUGAUGAAAUUAUAUAGGACUGCAGUUUACGCAGAACAAGGAAGUAGAUUGUCAGGGGCACUGUUUAUUAAGUGAUAUAGAAAAGCCUGAAGCCUAUUUUCAUUCUGAUGACUUUUUAAAGCACUUUUUAUCUAAGUCUUCUGUCCUUAUUACCUAAGUUUCUGACCUAACAAAACUGUGGGAUAAAAACUAACCAGCUACCCCUUCCAGCUGAUUAAUCACACUUUUUAAAGACUCUUGCAGAGGACACUAAUCAUUGACUGAACUUCAUCUCUCAUCAGCAGGACUCAAGUUGGUUCCCACAGACAUACAGAUGGUAUUGUUAGGGCAGCAUUUUGGUGAAUAACAAGGAGUUCAUUAUGUGUAUCUGCUGGACUUCUAACAAAAGCAACCCAGUAGAAUAAACCAUAGUGUGCUCUCAAAAAUGAUGAUGAACAGAUAUCACUCAUUAACUUUACAGUAGAGCAAGCUAGUAACACAUAAUCCGAUAUUGAUAUAGUAACCUUCAUAGAAAUUUGAAGCGGUCAUCAAAACAAUGAUAGUGUUUGCUAUCUCUUCACAAAAUAAGCCUGAGAAACUCAGAGAAACACUUGCAAGAAUUCAAAAGGCAUGUUGCCUCAAUACAGCAAAAAUGUCUUUUUUAGAUGUGUUCCUAAUCCCCAAAUUUGCAAAGCUUUAGGAGGUGGCUUUGACUAUUUCCAAUGAUUUUCUAACUUUUUUUUUUUUUUUUUAAAUUUUCUGUACAAGUAAAAACUUACGUAUGCUUGAAAUAAGGAGGAAAUAAACAGAUAAUCAAGUAUUUGAAAAGGCAUAGGAAAUAAUGUUUGUGAUGAAACUCAGAGUGGUCAAAAUGAGUCAUAUUGAACAAUCCCUCACAUGUUGGCCAAAAUAUAAUGUUUGGGAAAGAAUAUAAAAAUGUAGCAGUUAUAUAGUGAAUGGAAUCUGAAUCAAAAUCUUUACUUGCAUAGGUAGGAAACUUGUUUCAGUUUUUGUCUUUGUUUCUCACUAUCCAACUCUAUUUUAAUUGGUAACAAAUUAAAUUAAUUUUCCCAAGUAGAGUCUGUUUUGCCCAUAACAAUAAUUGGCACGUGAUCUUCCGGCCUUCAUCUUGACCAAUGAAAUUUUUUAUUUUGCUUUCUCCUCAUGUCCUGUUGAGGAAGAAGAACAGAAGAGCAGUUGGUUGGUGAUCUUGGCAGCAAGCCAAGGUCAACCAUUCUACAACCUUUAUCAAACUCUACUUCUGCACUGCAGGCUUCUCUAUUGUGAGAUUCUUUAGGUCAGUACUUUCCAAAUAUUUUUGUUGUUGUUGAAGCCUCCACUUCAAUGGUAAAAGACAAGAGGUAGCUGAGAAAUAAGAACACAUUCAUGUGAUGAUCAUGUAUGAUCAUGUUUGCUGAUGUCUGCACAUGAAUUUAAUUGCACCUGCACAGAAGUUAAAAGCAAAACAGCUAUUUUCACAAGUUCCUUAUAUGCAUAUUUAUUCUGUAUUGCAAAAUUCAUUUUGUAGUAUUGGAGAAUUCACUUUAGAAAUGUGUUUCAUCUGAAAGAAUAAUAAUACAAAAACAAAACUCCCCAAACUCCCUGGUUUUAACAGGUGUCAGCAACCUUUAAGGCUGUAUCAGUUGCAAAUCUGACUAACGCUAGCUAGCACUGAUCCAGGGAAACGCUGUUCAUCCCACUUUCCAACACCUGUCUGUAACCUUUCUGAUGGGGGGCAGGAAAGAGCUGUGAAACACCCUGACUCAGCAAGAGAUUCUUUCUUGUAGCAAAGCUGUGUGGUAGGGAUUCAGGAUAGUUUGCAACCCGAAAGGCAAUAUGCAAAAAGUACCCCUUCACUAGUUUACAGAUAAACUGCACAGGAUGCCUCUCCUUACAUGGCUGGAUAAGACUCUUUAUGUAACCUUGGUUAAUCCCAGUUGCCAGUCUGUUAAAACAAUACUAAAGAACAGCUUUCUCUGGCUUCCAGAAAAGUGUUUUAACCAUCUUUGGCUUGUAUAUUUUCAUUCCUUUUAGGCAACUGCUAAAAGAUUGCAACUCACUUCAGAACAGGCCCAGACUGCCAAAUCACUGCAGUUGCUGUUUCUGCAGUUCCCAGCCAGUAAUGACAAGAGCUGGCAGCCUGGGACUCUCCUGCCUUCCCUCCAGUCACGUCAUUUCUUAGUAUUUUGCAGCUAGAGGGGACAAAAAGGCAGCUUCUCUGUGAAAUGUAUGUUAAAACUGAAUGAAAGUCAAGGCCAAGAAAGCUAUCCUAUGUCAGUUUGGUAACAAGAAAUAGCCCAUCUUCAUCUAGUUUCUUGGCCAUAAUAAUUGAGUUGUUCACAGAAUCACAGAGUGGCUGAGGCUGGAAGGGACCUCUGGAGAUCAUCUAGUCCACCACCCCUGCUCAAACAGGGUCACCUAGAGCAUGUUGCACAGGAAGGUUUCAUCUUCUCUACACCCUGCCAGUAGGCAGCUGUAGUCAGCAGAGAGGUCCAGCCCUGAGCUUUCUCUCCUUACUUCUCAUCAAAGGAGUGUCCCCAGCCUGCCCUUAUAUGCCAUGUGCUCCAGUCCCUCGCUCCCUCAAAUGUCCUGGGAGGGCCCACACUACACACAUCAGUAACUUUCUUACACUGGGGAGACCAGAAGAGGAUGCCGCAGUUCAGAUGCAGUAGCAAAAAUGACACCAAGUAAGAGAGGAAAGUCAUUUUACUGUUGGUUUAUUACUAUUAUUAUUAAUAUUGCAAUUUGUUGCCCAGUCUUGGGAAGAACCACUAAUGAAACAUCUUGAAUGGACUUAACGCUUCACUCCCGUGCUUCUUCCUGGCAGACCAGAAGCCUCUGGUUCUUCAGAGGAACGCUUGUCUCCAUCACUGCUUUGACUGAUCUGCUGCUGUUCCCUGUGCACCGCCAUGGAGGGCAUGACUUUGCCUUCAAUCCCUCGUUGGGCAGCCUUCUCCUUCCCACAUUGAGACACUCAAGGCCCAGCAUGGCCCCCUGAGGGAGGCCUCCUGUUGCCCUGUGCAAUAGCCCAAAGGAAGCCAAGUCCAGACUUGCCUACUCCUUGGGACAUUGUACAGAGGAGAUGCCUCCUCUUCAUGAGAGGCAGGGAUGGGGAAUAGGGGGUGGGAAAGGAGGCCAUCCUGCAGGCAAGCCUGUGAGAUGCUAAUGGGUGGCCCCUCUUAAUUAAUUGUGGGGAUGGAGGCUGUGCUGUGGACAAGGAGCUCUACAGGCGCUCCUGCGAUGACGAUGUUGUGGCCUCGCAGAUGGGAGCCCUGGCACGAUGCUGUUCUGCCACAUCAGCUGGGUUGGAGGUGGAUCUACCCCCAAUGGUUCUUCCUCCUCCUCCUGAGGUGGAUCCACCUCCAUAGGCUUCUCAUCAUCUGCCAUGAUGAUGGGCAUUGCUCCUCUUCCAGUGGCACUCCUCUGUCCCCACUUCUUCUCUGGUUCCAAGAUCCAAUUCUCUGUUGUCCUACAGAGCCAAUGACAGACACUGCUCCAGGACCUCUUCAUUCCAACCAUUGCUGGGUAUCACAACCAGAGGGGCCUGGAAGCCCAGUGAAUGGUGGGCCAGGCACAGAGGGUUUUAUAGGGCCCUGAACAAAAUUUGCUGCAGAUGCCACCAUGACAUCAGGAAGCCUCUGUGAUGGCCCUUGUGAUGACCUGCCAUGGCCAUUGUCCAACACGGCCAUAUUGGGAGUGGGUGUCUGCGGCCUGAAAGAUGCCUUCAUGCAGAAGGAGGAGGAGCAUCAGGGGGCUGAGGGCCCCUUUCCUGGGGAUGGCUCUCCUGGGCCAUUUUGCUUGCCAGAGAGAUGGCUGCCCCUUGGGCACAGGGACUGCCCUCUGCCUCCACUCCUGUGCCCGGGCCUCCAGCCUGCUCUUCAUCCCCUGCCUGGGUCCCUGUGCCACAAGCAGACCGGCCAGCUGAAAGCGAAAGGGGGCCGGGGGACGGCGCCGCCUGGCGGCCGCCGGGAACCACUGCUCGCCGCCGGGGCGAGGCGGGCGGGCGGUAGCCGGGAGCGGGAAGCGCGGCGACGUCUAGGGACGGCAGCCGCGUGAGGUGUCGCGAAAUGGCGGCGGCGCAAGGGAGGAGACGUCAUGUAAUGGCGGCCACAUGAGGGAGGAAGUGUCACGUGAUGGUGGCUGCGUGAGGGAGGAGGCAUCGCAUAAUGGCCGCUGUGCCGUGCCAUGUCCGCGCUGAUGCGAGGUGCCCUCCUUUCCUGCUCCCCACCCUCGGUUGUAGCGGCCUCCCUGCGCCCUUCUCUGCCGCUUCCCUUCGCUCCCUUCUCUGUGCUCCUAAGGCGGGCUGGGAGGCGAGACCUGUGCUGGAGGGCUGCUGUGAGGAUGAAGCCCUCAUCUCCAAAGUUAGUUGUGUGACAUUGGCAGUAGGGUGGUGGUUGGACCAGAUGAUCUUGAAGGUCUCUUCCAACCUUAAUGAUUCUAUGAUUCUAUGAAAACUCAAAAGAUGACAUAUUUACACAGCUAAAUCAGGAGAGUUAUUAUUGACCAUUUCCCUAAACAUAAUAUAGGGAAUGAUAUAAUGCAUUAUAAGCCAACCCACCUUAUUUAUUUAUUAUUUUUAAUUGUAAUUUCUCAGUUUUUCAAACAGCUUAGAUGGAGUUCAUAAAUGUAGUUAGUUUUGACCUUGGACAACUUGCUAAAUUUCGAAUUUCCUUCAACUUUGUGAAAUCUUACUGUCAAGAAUUUAAUUCUGGUUGUGAUGAAAAAGGUUUUCAAGUGAAAAGUGAUCAAUUUCAGUUGUAGGAUUGUUUAAAAAAAGAUAAAAAUGUGCUGCUACACUGAAGACCUGAGGAUAAAAACGAGCCAGUGGGGGCAAAGCAAAACAGAGCAGAAGCUGCUUAAACUACAUUUUAAAAUGUGGAACUAGAUUCUUCUAGAAUCCAAAGGCCAGAAUGCUAGUAGAAUACAAAUACUGGAUAUUGCUGUUCGCAGCCUAAUAAAAAGUUGUGUAUUAAAAUUUCAUUUCAUAUAUGUGAAAUGGAGAAAAGAAAAAGUAGUUUAACAGAUGAGUCGGGAAUGAACAAUCUUAGGAAAUUCUAUUACUCAGACUCCCAAGCUUCAGUCUGAAGGAACAGAAUGAACAGAAUUUAAUGAUAUGCAAAUUAUCAGAUUGCAAACAAAAUAAAUACGUAUUAAAUAUUUUACAAAGAUUUUUUAUGAUGAGCUAAGUCUAUUAAAGUUAUUAAAAUUAUGGUAAAUCUCACUGAUACGCUUGAAAUCAGUUACAUUCUUUCUAAAGUGGUAUGGUGGAUAUCUGAAUUAAUUUCAUUUGAGUUGCAAGUUACAAGAAUUUAUAAGGAAGUUAAAAUUUAAUAUGGGUUAAAAAGUCUGCUAUGUAUAUGGACACUUACACCUGUCAAUAUAAAUUCUUUCAAGCUGGAGAUCAUCUACCUCACUGAAGCAUGUGAACUGCGGUUAUAAUCGUAGAAUAAUUUAGUCUGGAGGGGAUUUCUGGAGGUGUCUAAUCCAAUCUCCCGUUCAAAGCAGGGCCAGCUUCCAAGAAAGCUCAUAUUUCUCAGGACCUUGUCCAGUCAAGGUUCAAAAAUUUGCCAGGAUGGAUACUCUAUAACCUCUCUGGGCAACAUUUCAGGUCUUUAUUCCUCUUGUUGUGAACAGUUGCUGUAAAAAAGCUGAAUUUAAGAUACAUACAUAUAUACAUUUUGAAAAUGUAUACUACUACUGUAAACCUGACAAAAUAUUUACAAUUCUGUUUUGAUUAUUAUUUUUCCUUAAUCUAUGCUACCAAUCAACUAUUUCAGUCAUCAGUCCAGUUCAACAUUUGAGGCAUUUGUUUGUUUAUAACUGAUAAAAAAUUCUCUGCUUUUUAUUGCAUGCCUUGCCUCCUUACUUGGAGCUGCUAGUCUUUAUUACUAUGGGAUUUGCUGUAAAGACAACACAGCAUCUGACUGUACUGCAACCAGACAAAUAGAAAAUUUGAUACUACUGUGACAAAUCAGGUAAGGAAGCAAUUUUGUAUAAGAGGAAGAAGUCAUUUAAAAAAAGAGAGGCAAAAGGAUUUUGAAACUGAAGUGACCAUCCAAAUAUAAAGAAAGAAUAAAUGUAGUUAUGAAGAAAAGAAAAGAAAUAAAGCCUAGUUAUUUAAACAUCUGCAGAGAAAAAAUCAGCAACAGACCAUAUCAAACUAUGUAGCAAUGAAAUGAAAAUUCUUUUCUUAAUUGGUUCUUAUUUCCAAUCAUUAUGUUUUCUGCUCUGCCCUUAAGAUAUUGUAACUUUCUAAUCAUUUUCUUAAAUUCACACUAGAAGAUACUGAUGUACUUUCCCUUCUGUAUUCUAUGCCAUGAACAGUAUACAUCUCAUUCAACACUGCUCAAGCUUGCAUAGUGAAAUCUAUUCCAAUGGAAUUCAUUUUAUGAUGCAUACCAAAAUAUUUUAGUAUGCAACAUAAUCCACCACACACAGACCACUGGGCCUUGUGUUGUUAUUUAUUUCCAUGCAAAUGAGUUGAAUGAUAUAUUUUUAUAGCUUCUUUCUAAUGAAGUAGAUGAUAAAACAUCAAUUAAUAAUCACAUCUGUUAUUCUAAAGUUCUAAAAAAUAUAUAUUUUGACACAAAUAUUUAAUAAGGUACAGGUAGCUUAGAGCUAAUUGAAAUGCAUUCUGAAUCAAGAAUCCAUCCAAUUUAAACAUUCCUAGAUGUACACAUUUUAGUAACAAGGAGUCAAUAAACCUUCUACUAAUUUAAAUGUAAAAGAAUAUCCUUCUCAAUGUUCGGACAUGUUCAGCUACAUGGCUCACUGUUCUGAAAAAAAAAACAACCAACAGGAGUCUCCUUUAGUGACACGGUGGCCAGCCCCAGCAAUGUCCUAAAUUGGUUAGAUGUGUAUACCACAUUGCAGGUUUUCUGCAAGUCAGUUUGUUGGGCAUACAAACUCCAGUAAAUAUAGAGUAAAUAUACUAAGUAUAUAUUGUGAUAGAGGGACCAUGUAUGUAAGAGCAAAAAAUAAGUUCAGUUGCCCUUUUCCGGGUAAUUGGUUUGAUUGUUUUUAUGACAGCUACUAGUAUAGAAUAAGAAGUCACUUCAAGGUGGAUUUUCUUUAACAUAUAAAAGGGAUAUUUCUGAGCUUAUUGUUUUCCACAGAUAAUUACUAUGGUGAUUAUAGAUCCACCUCCAAUUUUUGUGCUACAUAUCGUUUCAUAGAAGGAACACUUUCCACCAUGUUUCAUAACACCUGCAUGUUUCUGCAUGCACCAGGUACUCAGGUUGUGAAAACCUUUUCAAAACUUAGUAACACCUCCUUUGAAUCACUGCCCAGCAUCUCACCAGGGUCUAUAUUCUCCCUCAUUUCUCAACACCCUUGUUUCUGUCUCAUGUGGGUUUUUUAUAACCCUCAUUUACUCUGUACCACCUCUUCUUUGUUUUCUUUCCACACUCAUUCCUCUCUUUUGCUCCUCAAGAGACUUGACUGUAAUCAGGAUUAUGUGCUUAGUAGAAAGAGGGACCCUGAAUGAGGAAAUCAUUAUGAAGGUGAAUUUGUAAGUUUUCCUGUUAUUGAUGAUUCCAUUGGCAUUGAAUUUUUUUGUGUUGUCAUCAGAAUUUCCAGAUGAAUACAAACAGGAUCAGAAGUAUCAGCUGAAUACAAACACAUCAGAAGCAAAAAAAGACUCCUUUUCUGUUUUCUUGUUCCAAACUAAAACGUGUUUCUUGUAGCUCUUUCCCCUUUUCAUAAACCAUCCCUCUCACAAAGGAUCUGGUGUUCCCAAGCAAAUCACGUCUGAAGACUAGACCACCACCUCCUUGGAGAGGAGUAGGGGAACUGUGACAUUCUGAGUAAAGAAACAAAUAUGU